rnacentral:rRNA from 1 species
UACGGAGGGUGCAAGCGUUAAUCGGAAUUACUGGGCGUAAAGCGUGCGCAGGCGGUUUGUUAAGUCCGUUGUGAAAGCCCCGAGCUCAACUUGGGAAUUGCAGUGGAUACUGGCAGGCUGGAGUACGGUAGAGGAAGGUGGAAUUCCCGGUGUAGCAGUGAAAUGCGUAGAUAUCGGGAGGGACACCAGUGGCGAAGGCGGCCUUCUGGACCAGUACUGACGCUCAUGCACGAAAGCGUGGGGAGCAAACAGG